AUUGAACGCUGGCGGCAUGCUUUACACAUGCAAGUCGAACGGCAGCGCGGGCUUCGGCCUGGCGGCGAGUGGCGAACGGGUGAGUAAUGCAUCGGCACGUGCCCAGUAGUGGGGGAUAGCCCGGCGAAAGCCGGUUUAAUACCGCAUACGCCCUGAGGGUGAAAGCGGGGGACCGAAAGGCCUCGCGCUAUUAGAGCGGCCGAUGUCGGAUUAGCUAGUUGGUGGGGUAAAGGCUUACCAAGGCGACGAUCCGUAGCUGGUCUGAGAGGACGACCAGCCACACUGGGACUGAGACACGGCCCAGACUCCUACGGGAGGCAGCAGUGGGGAAUUUUGGACAAUGGGGGCAACCCUGAUCCAGCCAUGCCGCGUGCGGGAAGAAGGCCUUCGGGUUGUAAACCGCUUUUGUUCGGGAAGAAAUCCUCUGGGCUAAUACCCCGGGGGGAUGACGGUACCGGAAGAAUAAGCACCGGCUAACUACGUG
rnacentral:rRNA from 1 species